UACGAAGGGAGCUAGCGUUGUUCGGAAUCACUGGGCGUAAAGCGCACGUAGGCGGAUGUGUCAGUCAGGGGUGAAAUCCCGGAGCUCAACUUCGGAACUGCCUUUGAUACAGCACGUCUUGAGUCCGAUAGAGGUGGGUGGAAUUCCUAGUGUAGAGGUGAAAUUCGUAGAUAUUAGGAAGAACACCGGUGGCGAAGGCGGCCCACUGGAUCGGUACUGACGCUGAGGUGCGAAAGCGUGGGGAGCAAA
rnacentral:rRNA from 1 species